CUGUAGUAUGUAAUUUUACUUACUUUAUAUACAAAUGUUCAUAAGAAUUUAUUUAUCUAUAAGUGCAUCUUCUGCAUGUUAUUCUUUUGAGUGUAAUUUUGCAAAUGUUCAUUGAAUUUUAUUUUUUUUGUAGUUGUAUAAUGGUGAAUUUAGCUGUAGCUAUUUUUGAUAAUGUUCAUCAAAUAUUUUUUGAAGUUUUAAAAAAAGUUGAUUUAGUCGUAGUUUUUUGUAGGUUUUGAUAUCAGCUGUCUUUGAACAACUGAAAGUUGUACUCAUUUACUGUACAGCUAAUUUGAAGGAUUUUUUCACAAUUGAUAUUCUCUUCACCUAAGCAAUGUAUCUUGUAUUCAUGUGAGAAAUUAUUUAUAGAUUUCAACUUUUAAGGUUUGCACCAUAUUAUAAUAAUAUAAUACAUUCUGUAUGUAUAAAAUACUAGUUAUAUAUAGACCUCAAUAAGCCUUAUCAGGCAUAUCAUCUAUGAAAUAAUGGUUUGGUGUUCAGAGAAGUUUCACAUUUUUUUAUGUAACCAUAGUUACUCGGAACAUGAAUGCUUAAGUUCAACUGUUGCAGUUCUCAAAUUUGUUAUCUUAAAAAUAUUUAUGAUGUAUUAAGUUGUUUAAAGAUUUCUAGUCGACUGAAAGGAUCUGUGUUAGAUAAGGGCAUAAUAUUUAUCCUCAUACUAAAACUUAUAAAUACUGUAAGAAGAAAAUCUGUAAGAAAAAUGGCCUUUACCAAAUUUUUUUUUUUUCCUUUUUUUUUUCUUAUUAUUAGUCAUUUCUAAAGUACUGAACUUAAACGAUGAAAUUUUAAGAUUUUAAUAUUCUUGAAUUCAGUAUCCUUCAACGCAUAUUUGAAAAGAAUUUUACAAAAUUUAGGUCAUAGAAAAUUUAGAUUCAUCAACCAUAUAGAAUUAGAAAAUUAAAUAUUGAGUUGUAAUUUCAUCUUAAUUUGAUCCAAAAUUCAAUCUCAGUCAAAUGAUGAAAUACACCCAAAUGACUAAACUGCAUGAGUCAAAAGAGAUAUUUGUCAGGUUUAAUAAAGCAUGACUUAUCAGUAAUUUUAUACAUUGGUGAUUAUUGAUUGCAAUACAUCCAUGAUCCAACACUUAAAAUAAUUCAACACCCAAGUUUGAUUUGAACAAGAUCACUAUCUACUCGAAAUGAUGCUAAUUCUAAAAUAAAUGUUUAUUAGUUAAUAAGUGACAUAUGAUACAACUAUAACUAGCAGGAUUAAUUUAACACUACACAGUUCAUUGAAUGUAAACAUAGCUUGAAUUUGUGUAUCCUCAUAGUUAUAUAAUAGUUUAUCUGCCAAGAAUUCCUUGUGUACAUUAAUGGUUUACAUUUUUCAAUAAUUCAUUCUUUUUUUCAAACAAAAGUCGAAAGAAAAAGUUGCAAAGACAUUUUUUCUGCAACUUUAAUGUUGUUUAGCUCUCAGUGUUAAGAAUAAGCAGUUUCAUUUAUCAGUUUAAAAAGUCUGUGCACAUAUGGUUUUGAUUAAAUAUACAAACAAAAUAUGAAAUUAGCAUCUUGCAUUAUUUGUUAUGUAAAUAAAAUCAGGAAUUGUAUUAUUUUAAAAAUCUUAUAUCAAAACAAAAUUUCAUAUUUUUUUUAUUUGAAAGAUCUAACUAAAAUAAUUGAAAUAUAAAUCAUUCCACAACUUGCAGAAAAUGUGAUAGUCAUAUUAAUUGUCAUUUUGAUGUCAAAAAUAUAUUUAUAGUAUUACAUAUUUCAUUAUUAUACAUUGUAUUUUAUAUGCCUUUAAUUAUUAUUUCUGGUCUAACUUAUACAACGAACAAUAUUUAUUUUCCUUUUCUAUGUUGUAACUGAAAUGUUAACUUGUUGUUCUCAGGCUUAAGCAUGUGCUUUAUAUUAAUGGCUUCCUGCAAUGAAUCUCAAUAUUAUGUCAGGUUCAAAAGAAUUUUUGCAGAUCAGUUUUGUUUUUGAGAUUUUAUUCAUUUAUACUUCCACAAAUGUUUAUGUCUUAAUUAUACCCUCAUGCAAUUAUAGAUUUUGAUGUAUUAAUUUGUCUUAUGUUAAGUAUUUCAGAAAUCAUGCCCCCUAAAUGUAAGAAUGUUUUAAUAGUUUGCGACACAUGCUUAAUCAAAUUUUGAUGAAAGUUUUUACAUGGAAGAUGUGCAUAUAUUGAGUGAUUCCCCUUUAGACUUAGUUUUAUUAUCAGAUCUUCCUAUUAUUAAAAUAUAAAAUAAUAUAAGAAAUCAUGUGUAAACAAUCCAAAAUCUCACUGUCUUAAACAAGCAUGUUGUCUCAUUGGCAAUCAAACAUCAUCUCCUUAUUUUUAUAAUCAUGUUUAAACAUGUAAUGCAGUAGUGACUGGUCUUUGAUAAAUCCUUGAGUUAUGCCCCUUUUCAUUUUUUUAUAUACUCUUUAUAGUCAUCAUUUUGUUGAUGAAACUCUUUUUAUUUGCUUCAACAGAUAUUCAUGAAAAGUAUCAGCGAUCAAAAGUUGCAUGGGUAGUGUAUUUUUCCGGCUUUGUAGAUAACAUAAUAUUUCUUUUAUGAAACAUUUCCACUUUACAAAAUUUACUUUUAUUGUAUCAUUGGGUUGCUAACUCAUUUAUGUAUACAUUAUACCCUACAUUGCUCCUUCUCAUGGGUAAUAAAAUCUCACUAGUUUAUUCACUAUAUGAGCACCUGAUUUUGUCUCACAUUGUUUAGUUAUGUUACUCUUGUAAGCAAUAAUUGAAUGCUAAGAAAGAUAAUUUUGAUAUAUUUAUGUAUAUUAUAUUGUUAUCAGAUAUACUUACAAUGACAUUAAAAUAUAUAAGAUUUAAAUUACUGUC
rnacentral:lncRNA from 1 species